CACUUUUUCCCUAUGUCUUUACCAUGUUCGUCUAGCUGUUAUAGACUUAAACUCUAACUCUUCAUUGUCCGUGACACUCUGAAGCCCUCUACACCUGUGGUCACUUCAAGUUCCAAUCGACAGAGUUGACGGUUGCAGCGUCUGACUCAUCCAGAGUUUUAUGUUAGACUGCCUUGUGCAGCUUCCCGUAAUUUCCUUCCCAGGUAGCCGCCACAGUUGUGGUGGGACAAAGAAGCGUACACUGAAAAUGUGGUUGUUAUCUCUUGGGUCCACACGACGCUAACUUACACGCCCGGACCUACAGGUCGAGAAGUGCUUGAAUUCGUGGGCAAGCAUGAAUAUUUGCUUCUUUCCACGGGCAUUUUGAUAUGAUCACCUCAAAGGCUUUACUACGUCAUGUGCCCAUUCUUCUUUCUAGACCUCAGUGCGAUUUCUGCAGUUCCCUUUCCAGUUCAACUCCUGAGGUACGUGAGUGUGAAGAUCGCUUAGUUCUGAGGUCGCACGUAUCGCGGUUGCGAGGAUGUUAGUCCGGCGAGUCUGUUCUGCCACUAGGAGAGCCGUUUUAGUCGCAUCACCUGUUCGUUUUCUUCGAGGGGUUACUGACUUUCUGACCUCUUGACACCCAAGACGCGAGGCUGGACUCUCGGUUGCCCUCACACGGACACGCUGGGCAGUUUGUUCAUGGUUCUACGUGAAAAUGGUGAAUGCAAACUUGUCUUCAUAAAGACUCCCCAAAAGAAAUGACGGAACUGCCGCCAGUCAUUGUUCCGGC
rnacentral:lncRNA from 1 species